rnacentral:lncRNA from 1 species
AUACUGAAGAGCACAUCGGAGUCUCUUAAUAGCAAAACUGAUCAAGUAGAAGAAAGAAUGAGUUAGCUUGAAGACACGCUAUUUGAAAACAGAGGAGACAAAAAAAGAAUUAAAAAAACAAGCACAUCUGCAAGAUCUAGAAAAAAGCCUCAAAAGGGCAAAUAAUGGUGAAAGCCUAAAUAGUAUCUUCCUAAGAGCAGGAACAAGGGAAGAAUGUCUGCUCUCACCACUUCUAUUAACAACUUAAAGGAAAAAAAAAAAAAAAAAAAAGGAUUUAAAGUUGAAGAAUGCCAGUUGGAGAAUGGUUUGAUAAUCUGAAAAAGUGGUUUGGUUUAAAAACGUCAAGAAAAUAGAAGAAGCAGCUACUGCCAACCAAGAGGCAGCAGAGGAGCUCCCAGACACCAUUAAGAAAAUCAUUCAGGAGAAAGGUUAUCUGCCUAAACAGGUUUGUUUGUUUGUUUUUGUUAU